rnacentral:rRNA from 1 species
ACGACGCUGGCGGCGUGCCUAAUACAUGCAAGUUGAACGCUUGAUUUUCACCGAAGCUUGCUUCACCGAAAAUCAAGAGUAGCGAACGGGUGAGUAACGCGUGGGUAACCUACCUAUCAGCGGGGGAUAACUAUUGGAAACGAUAGCUAAUACCGCAUAACAAUGUUGAAUGCAUAUUCGACAUUUGAAAGUACCAACUGGUACACUGAGAGAUGGACCCGCGUUGUAUUAGCUAGUUGGUAGUGUAAUGGACUACCAAGGCGAUGAUACAUAGCCGACCCUGAGAGGGUGAUCGGCCACAUUGGGACUGAGACACGGCCCAAACUCCUACGGGAGGCAGCAGUAGGGAAUCUUCGGCAAUGGACGAAAGUCUGACCGAGCAACGCCGCGUGAGUGAAGAAGGUUUUCGGAUCGUAAAACUCUGUUGUUAGAGAAGAACGUUGCAUAGAGUGGAAAAUUAUGCAAGUGACGGUAUCUAACCAGAAAGGGACGGCUAACUACGUG